ACCCCCUCCGCGCCAGCCGGAGCCAGCGGCAUCCUCGUUCUCGCUCUUCGCGCGUCAGCCGAGCCCCGCGUAGACGGACGGCGGUAGAUCGUCCGCGCUCGCGGCAGCGCUCGCGUUCGUCGUCGUUAUUCAUCGUUUGGGUAAAAUGGCCGACCACAGGGAACGGGACUCGUAUUACUCGCAGACGGAUCUCCGCUCCAAAAAUGACGAUCCGCCGAACUCACGUCUCUUCGUCAUCUGCCACAAAAGCCUCGAGGAAGACGAUCUCAGGAAGGCAUUCGAGAAGUUCGGCAAGAUCGAGGACAUCUGGGUGGUUAAGGAUCGUAAUACGGGCGAGAAUAAAGGUGUCACAUAUAUCAAGUUCUUUAAAACGUCAGAAGCAGCGUUCGCUCUGGAAGAGAUGAAUGGCAAGAUGUUGGGCUCUGUCGGCAGACCUAUCAAAGUGAUGAUCGCUUCGAACCGGGAUCAAGGUUCUGUGCGCGAGACGAACGAAGAGGAGAGGUGGGUUCGCUUAUUCUGUGUAUUACCGAAAACAAUGACUGACAGCGAGUUGCAACAGGAGUUCUCCAAGUUCGGUGCGAUAGAGUACGCAACGGUCGUGAAGGAUCGCAGCACGAACGAGUCCAAGGGCUUCGGCUACGUAAAAUUCAAGAAGGUAUCGAGCGCAGCGCGGGCGUUCGAGGAGUGCGACAGGAAGUACAAAGCGGUGUUUGCCGAGCCGAAGAAACCGAAAUCCGAUCACAACGAUGUCAAGUACAACAAUGGGUUGUCCAGUGCCGCGUAUGACGGCACCGGCGCCAGCUAUGGUCCCACGAACUUCGGCAAGAGCAGCAUCAGCCUGGAGAUCGCGACCAACUACUCCAACUCGGAGGGCUAUACGCGUCUGCAGGUGAUCGCGCACCCGGCGCUGAAUCAAGACCAGCUAUGGAAGCUUUUUGAUAUAGUGCCUGGGAUGGAUUACUGCCACUUGAAGACCGAUGUUAGAUACAGGAUGCCGCGUGGCCAGGCGGUAGUGGUGUACAACAAUCCGAGCGCGGCGGCAUACGCGCGCGAGAAGUUCCACGGUUUUGAAUAUCCGCCUGGUCAUCGGAUGAUCGUCAAACCGGAUCUGACGAGCGCACCACCGAAGGGCGCGUCAAAACCUGGGGGGUCGACCGCCGGCAGUGUCGCCAGCGCGAGGACUGAUCUGGCGCAUUUAGCAGAGACGAUUGCUCAAGCCACCUCGUUGAUUCAAGCUGCAGGUCUGACAGCACCGAGCUUAGACCACAUAUCCGUGAAGUUACCACCUGUACAACCGAUGGCGAGUAUAGACGCUGAGGUCGCUAAGAGGUGUUUCAUCGUAUGCGGUCCACCAGUGCCACCUAUCUACGCUAUGAAGGACGCGUUCUGUAGGUUUGGAAAUCUCAUAGAUGUAUAUAUGUUACCCGGCAAGAAUUGCGGAUAUGCGAAAUAUGCCAGCGUCAGCAGCGCAAAUGAGGCGAUUGAGGUCCUACAUGGUCAGGAGAUUUGUGGAUCUCGGCUGAAAGUCCUUGAGGCGGAGGAACGAAACGUCGGUGAAGAUCGACGGAAACGAUUACGAAUGGAUGAAGAUGAGAACUGAACGUGUCCUAAUAAAAAUGCGUAUCUCACUGACUGGUAUACACAAGCCGGACGCACGCAACAAAAAGAGACGAAUUUAAAGACUACUACUCACUUGACCACAUCAAGGGCCUGCAUCCAGGGAAAACUACUCCAACUACCUACCUAUAUAUAUAUUUAACUGUUCGCUUACGUUCGCGCAGCUGCAACUCUCUACGUUACUGAAACCUUUAACUGCUACUCUACUAUUACUAUUACUUUUUAUCCUCUUACAUGGUCCGUUCACACACGAUACGUUGCGCGCGCGGACGAAAACCCAUGUUUCUGUUACUUUAAGAGGCCUGUGCGAACGGCCAUAUAUCGUUGAACGCUUGAACUCGCUAUAUCUAUGGAAAUGCUGAAAUGUAUACUUUCUUCCUUCGGAUUUUACUGGAAGACUUGGAGGAAGCAAAGUGCGCACACAUUGAUGAGAUGCACAGGAUAUCGUGAGGAUUCCACGAAGCAUUGUACCUGAAGACUGUGAUACUUCUAGCGACAUAAGAUUAUAUAAUGUUUUUACGAGAUUGUACAUAUGGGAAGAAAAAUUUUACAGAAUCUAUUAAAUUAUUAUAUUUUUAGUACAUGCAAUUUUUUGUAUUAUUUACAUGUGUAUGUAUUUAUUUUUUUUUUUUGAGACAAACCAUCGCCUCUAUUAAAAAUGAAUGAGUAAUAAUUUUUUAUCACUUCUCUAUUUUUAAGUCAUGUCAGAUAAAGUUUAUUACUCUUAUUGGUAAAAAAAU
rnacentral:misc_RNA from 1 species